UACGUAGGGUGCAGGCGUUAAUCGGAAUUACUGGGCGUAAAGCGUGCGCAGGCGGUCUUUUAAGUCAGAUGUGAAAUCCCCGGGCUUAACCUGGGAACUGCGUUUGAAACUGGAAGGCUUGAGUGUGGCAGAGGGGGGUGGAAUUCCACGUGUAGCAGUGAAAUGCGUAGAUAUGUGGAGGAACACCGAUGGCGAAGGCAGCCCCCUGGGCUAACACUGACGCUCAUGCACGAAAGCGUGGGGAGCGAACAGG
rnacentral:rRNA from 1 species